UGAUGAGGGGAAGCAAAGCAAGGAAAGGGAAGCAAGCAGGCAGGCAGAAUGGAGGUUGGGGUGGGGUGGGUGCAAUUGGGGCUGCAGCAGCACCUCGCGUGAUCUGAGCCAGGGGGCCAUGUGGCCACCACCAUGUGUGUCUCCUUCUGUGCCAGUGGGCUUCUUCACCUCCACCUCCUCCUCCUGCUCAUGUUCUGGUGGCGCUGGUCCUGGUUCGUGCCGCAUUCAACACAACUCCCCCUCCCCCACGCUGUGCACGCUCCGGGGCGGCUGAGCUUUAAGUCCACUACCUCUCUCUCUCACUCUGUGUUUCUCACCUCUCCCCCCUUCAUCAGUUGCGGCACUUGGCUUGACCGUCUUAGCCUUCAACAUAUUUUUCAUUACUUAUAAUAUAAGCUUAUAUAAGCUUUUAUAGUGACUAUAUAUAUAUAUAUAUAUAUAUAUCCUAAGUCAUGAAUAAAUUCUUGAAAAAAUAACCUAGUUGCAAGCAUUUCAUGUGGACUUAACUUGCAUGAAGUAUUUCAUGCAAGAGGAAAUUUUAUCUUAAAAUAAUUUUAGAGCCAAAAUAAUAGAAAAUUUACUUAAAGAUAUGUAUAUUGAGGACAAUAUGCCUAACAUUUGUGGACAAAUUUCCACAUACAUACAUCUCUAUUACACUUAAUACAUCUUUGCACUAAAAUACAAUCAAAGAAGCAAAAGUUUAUUUUAAUUGAUGUUAGAUUGUCUUCCUACUGUAAAUGUGUCAUUUGUCUUCUUUUGACUCCAUGUGAAGUUUAUGGAAUUUAACAGCAAGUAUUUUUUUUCAUGUUUCUAAUGUUACUGAAAUUGCAAAUUUUACAAAUACAAGGAGGAACAAACAAAUUACAGUGUCUAUAUUUCAUUAGAUCAACGAGGAUGGAGUGAUUCUUAGUUUGAAGAGAUGCUACAUAAUCAGCCUCUGAAAAGGGUUCAGACAUCUAACAGUUUAGUGCUCUGAAAUUUUCUUCCAAUCUUCUCCUUCAGAAUCAAUCUUUUUGGUUUGUUGUGUGGAGGUGUUCGUGUGAUGAGUUGUGUGAACCUCCACAUGUAAAUAUUGGCAGGAAUUAAAAAAACAGCACAUAUUUUUAGAAGGUGAGUAAUCGUUGAGGAUUCUAGUUGAAAAGAUACAGUGUCAAUUUACAGCUGCUUCAAGUUCUGUCUGAUAUGUUAGUAACACUGUUUCAAAGCUUGACGGUUUUCAGAUCCACAAUGAAGCAAUGGCCAAAGGAGCAAAACACAAUACAACCCUUAGCUUGAUUCUGCAAAUCAUUUGAUAAUAGAUACCAUGAGCAGGAUUACUUUAAUUAGAAAUUUGAGCGAAAUUCGAUUAUCAAAGUAUCCCACGCAACUGCAGAUGAGCAUUGCUGCUGAAUCUAACUUCGCUAGUCACGAUGAUCUUAACAAAUUUGUAACUGCAAUCAUAUGACUGAUGUGUAGCUCAAUCACUGAAGAGAUUGUGUGGGACCGUUGAUCAGGUGGAGGGAGCAAAGAGAGCAGUGUGCAUCAACUCCCGGCAGCGGUGACAACAGCGGAAAAGAGCGGACACAUGAACAAAGGAGUUAACGUCCUCACGAGGCAACUUGUGACAAGCGCAACAUGCAACGGAUGAAGCAUGCAAACAUGGGGUGGGACUUUUGGCAUGGAAAUGCUCAUUGACAUCGAUUUGGAUGUUAUUUUACUAUUGUUAGUAGACAGAUGGAACUGUGAGGUUCAAGUGCAUGGAGAGGAAACCAGUCUUUGACAACAAGUAUCACUCUAAGUGAGUUUGAUAGGAAAUCAAUCAAUCAAUCAAUCUCCACAUUGCAAUCUAUAUCUCUCACACAUCCUUCCUUCUGGCACCUCAGUCCCAGGAUUAACGAAGGACCACAUCUUUUGCAUGAU
rnacentral:lncRNA from 1 species